UUCUUUUUUUUCUUUUUUUUCUUUUUUUUUUCUUUUUUUUUUCGC
rnacentral:ribozyme from 1 species